AAUCUAGAAAAAGCAGCCUACUCUACCCCAGUCAUUUCAACAACAGUUGUACUCCACAUUACUAUACGAAUCGUUAUUUCAGUCUUAUCCAGCCUUUCAGUCGAUAGCCUUGCCCAAAAAAUAAACAUUCAUUGCUAUCUUCAUAACUCUUCCAUUCCUCAUCAUCGUCUUCUAGUCUGGAUCUCUUGCCCAACGACCUUCCGAAGGCGAGUCGUGCAAAUUCGGUUCUCCUUGUACCAGAUGGCACAUUAUUGUGAAGGACUGACUUUGAUGCCAAAAGUUCAUCAACACUCCGAAGGCAGAUCUGGAAGUUCGCUUGUCGAACGCAGCGUCGAAAUAUAUCUUAAUCAUUGUUGUCUUCCUAUGAUAAAUAUCCGUUCAUGUACUAGCCGAUUUCUGGAGUACCAUAUUAGCCAUAGAGCAUAGCAAAAGAGUCGACUCUGCUCCUUAGUUCCCUGCAGAAGUACCCAGGUAAGCCAAUCCCAAAACUCAGGUAUUGAGUUGUUGGUAACCCAUAAAAGGUUUACAAGUGUGGGCAAAUAAUUCCAAAAGAUACACCAAAUUGUAUUUGUGAUUUUUGUAGGAAGUUGUAGGCUCCAAAGUUUGCUGUAAAAAUUUUUUAAUUCGGUCUGUAAUAUAAUGCUACUAGGAUUUAGUGAAGAAUCCUGUAAUAGUUUAUAGUCGCUCCGAACGGUGAAUUCCCCAGAUUGUUCCCCCUUUGACAGUCAGCAUAGUUCAUUUCAGCAAGAGGGAUCUGUAAUAUUCUCUGAACAACCUCAUUCUGAAAGUUCCCACUCUCCAGCAUAGCUCUCUAUGGAGAAGUCCCUUCGAAGCCCAGAUGCUCUUCCAGGUGAGAGAAGGUAACAGAUCUACAUGUGACUCUAAACUCUCGACACACAGUAGGAUGAUGCAGUACCAGAAGCGCCGAACAGAUCUAGACAGAAAACAAUAAAACCAGAAUAAAACCUAAAGACGCAUACCAGAGGCGGCAGACAGAAACGUGCUAGGGUAGCAGACUUUACCAUUAGUCUACAACUAUAUUUAAAAACAGGCUUAAUGCACAUUUUAGUUAUUGAAGUAUACUACUUUUUUCACUUUAGUUCUUACAAUUUCUUUUAGUCCACUUUAAUAUUUAACGUUAUCUGAUUUUUCCAGUUUAGUCCUUUAACAUUAAAAA